GGGGCCUUAGCUCAGCUGGUAGAGCACCUGCUUUGCAAGCAGGGUGUCGUCGGUUCGAUCCCGGCAGGCUCCACCA
rnacentral:tRNA from 1 species